rnacentral:lncRNA from 1 species
CGUGAUGUAAGAGAUGGAGAUGCAGAUACAACAGAAAAUGGUAAUCCAAUCAUAAACCCUACGCAUUCUUCCACCAUGUUCUUCCUCAUGCUCCUCUUCCUGCUGGGCUUCUGAGAACGUCUUCCUCAUUUUCAGAAAAGCCAAUAAAACCCAUGUCAUCGGAAGAACAAAGAACACAAUGCCUAGAAUCUUUGCCGGAUUCUCCAUGGUUUUAACUCCUGAAAAGAAGAAGUUUGAAAAGAAUGAAACAGUGGAUUUGUGGGUUUUGAAAAGAAAAAGAAUACAAGAAGGCACCCGGAUAAAAAAAUGUUGUCUCCCGUUAAAUCCAAAAUCUAUCAUUUCCAAAAAGAAGAAGAUGGUGGUGGUUGACCACAUGCUAUUUUAUGUUUGCUCGUACCAUCUCCAUCUUUUUUUUAAGCAAUUUAUUUUAAUAACAAAAACAGACCAGUGAUUCAGUGAAUCAGUGAAGUCAAUCGGCAAGUAAGCAUGUGGAAGGUAAUGAGAGUUGCAGAGAUGUUUGGACAGGCAAGAAAAACUCCCAGUUAGUUCAGUCAGUACAUUGAAGAGAAUCAAACAAUUGACAGCUAUCACCAGAGAAGGAAGUAACAAGAACAAUUAGAGGCAAAAUAAGUAAAAAUGAAAAUUACUGAGAUAAAAACAUUUAAAUGGGUCAGUUCUUGAAUCCUGAUGAACCUUUUGAAAUCUCCAGCAAUGUUCUACUUCAACUCUGCUAUGAAGCUGGUUGGUUGGUGAGAAGAAACACAUUGCAUAUUUGCAUGUACAUUGCGCUUUUAUACAUUCUGAUGAUGUAUAUCCAGUGAUGUGGUGUUGGAAAUGAGAGCAUGGCCAUUGACUCAGUGAGUGGUUAUGGUGGUAGGUAAGUAAAAAAAAUCAGCAACUAACAUUUUCCUUUUCCAAUUUAGACGGCUCUAAACAACUACUACAAUGCUUUGAAGUUUGAAUUAUCUUAUAAGAUAUUUGAUUUCAACUGUCUGUUUUACUCGAAAUGUGAUAUUGGUUUGACCUCAAGUUGUGGUCCACAAAAGAAAAAGAAAAAUGAUAAUGGUUGUAAACCGUGUGAUGUUUUAUGAAUGAUG